rnacentral:rRNA from 1 species
AACGAACGCUGGCGGCAUGCCUAACACAUGCAAGUCGAACGAGACCUUCGGGUCUAGUGGCGCACGGGUGCGUAACGCGUGGGAACCUGCCCUUAGGUUCGGAAUAACUCCCCGAAAGGGGUGCUAAUACCGGAUAAUGUCUUCGGACCAAAGAUUUAUCGCCUUUGGAUGGGCCCGCGUUGGUUUAGCUAGUUGGUAGGGUAAAAGCCUACCAAGGCGACGAUCCAUAGCUGGUCUGAGAGGAGGAUCAGCCACACUGGGACUGAGACACGGCCCAGACUCCUACGGGAGGGAGCAGUGGGGAAUAUUGGACGAUGGGCGAAAGCCUGAUACAGCAAUGCCGCGUGAGUGAGGAAGGCCUUAGGGUUGUAAAGCUCUUUUACCCGGGAUGAUAAUGACAGUACCGGGAGAAUAAGCUCCGGCUAACUCCGUG